GGGGCUGCUGUUGCUCUUGUUAUACUGAUUGCAGUCAUCGCAGUAUGCAUCAAGCGGAGACAGAGACAGAAGGAAUACAACCGACAUAACAACGCUGCACAACCAUCAGAACUCCUGUUAACUCACUACAACCUUGAACUUCUGGCCGUGUUGGGUGAAGGUCACUUCGGGAAGGUUUGGAAGGCCAAGGCCAAUGGGAUUCUACACACAGGUCAAUGUGACAUCGUUGCUGUUAAAGUAUGUAAAGAUAAUGCAUCUGAGGAGCGGUGGACCAACUUCUACCGUGAAAUUAAACUGAUGAAGUCUUUACCGAAAUACUUACAUGUGGUGAAUUACCUUGGCAACAACCGCACACAAGGUAUGAUGGCGUUGGUCUGUUUGGUAGUACACAUAUAUAUGUUGUAUGACUGGAAUCAACAAGAAAUGUCGAUGUCAAACACAACAAAAAUGAAACACUCUCCUCCUUAAAUGAGUGAGCGAGAGAGAGGGUGAAUUGGAUUGUCUCAAUGAACCGCAGAAUAAUUUCGGGGAGCAGCAGAAAUGGAACCGAACGUUCGGGGUGAUGAAGAAGCAGCACCUUACCUACGACAGUUUUUGUAUCAAGGUUACAACAUUCAAGGCCUCUUUAUAGCCUCAGGGAUGGCGUCGUUGACGUUAUUUAUUGACGUCACUACACACAAUAAAAGUGCAGGAGGACAUGUUUACCCUUGCUUCGCGAACGCCUGGUGUCAUCACAUAUUUUCAAUGAUC